CACGUAGUUAGCCGGCGCUUCUUGUCCAGCUACCGUCAACCCACCCACCAGGGGCAGGCCUGCUUCACUGGCGAAAGAGGUUCACAACCCGAAGGCCUCCAUCCCUCACGCGGCGUCGCUGCAUCAGGCUUGCGCCCAUUGUGCAAUAUUCCCCACUGCUGCCUCCCGUAGGAGUCUGGGCCGUGUCUCAGUCCCAGUCGUGACCGUCCACCCUCUCGAGGCCGGCUACCCCGUCACCGUCCUUGGUACGGCCAUCCGACCCCACCAACAAGGCUGAUACGGCCGCGACGCCCACUCCCCCACCACGAAAAAACCCUUUCCCACGACCCAUCAUCGCGACACGACCCAGAACUACUACCCGUAUUACGCCACUACUUU
rnacentral:rRNA from 1 species